rnacentral:rRNA from 1 species
AUUGAACGCUGGCGGCAGGCCUAACACAUGCAAGUCGAACGGUAGCACAGAGAGCUUGCUCUCGGGUGACGAGUGGCGGACGGGUGAGUAACGUCUGGGAAACUGCCCGAUGGGGGGGGAUAACUACUGGAAACGGUAGCUAAUACCGCAUAACGUCGCAAGACCAAAGUGGGGGACCUUCGGGCCUCACACCAUCGGAUGUGCCCAGAUGGGAUUAGCUAGUAGGUGGGGUAAUGGCUCACCUAGGCGACGAUCCCUAGCUGGUCUGAGAGGAUGACCAGCCAGACUGGAACUGAGACACGGUCCAGACUCCUACGGGAGGCAGCAGUGGGGAAUAUUGCACAAUGGGCGCAAGCCUGAUGCAGCCAUGCCGCGUGUAUGAAGAAGGCCUUCGGGUUGUAAAGUACUUUCAGCGGGGAGGAAGGCGGUGAAGUUAAUAACUUCACCGAUUGACGUUACCCGCAGAAGAAGCACCGGCUAACUCCGUGCCAGCCGCCGCGGUAA